rnacentral:rRNA from 1 species
GACGAACGCUGGCGGCGUGCUUAACACAUGCAAGUCGAGCGGAAAGGCUCCUUCGGGGGUACUCGAGCGGCGAACGGGUGAGUAACACGUGAGUAAUCUGCCCUGUGCUCUGGGAUAACCACCGGAAACGGUGAUUAAUACCGGAUACAACCACUAUAGGCAUCUGUUGGUGGUGGAAAGUUUUUUCGGCACAGGAUGUGCUCGCGGCCUAUCAGCUUGUUGGUGAGGUAACGGCUCACCAAGGCUUUGACGGGUAGCCGGCCUGAGAGGGUGACCGGUCACACUGGGACUGAGACACGGCCCAGACUCCUACGGGAGGCAGCAGUGGGGAAUAUUGGACAAUGGGCGGAAGCCUGAUCCAGCAACGCCGCGUGAGGGAUGACGGCCUUCGGGUUGUAAACCUCUUUCAGUACCGACGAAGCGCAAGUGACGGUAGGUACAGAAGAAGGACCGGCCAACUACGUGCCAGCCGCCGCGGUAAAAC